rnacentral:rRNA from 1 species
UACCAGGCCGCUGCGACUGUUUAUUAAAAACACAGCACUCUGCAAACACGAAAGUGGACGUAUAGGGUGUGACGCCUGCCCGGUGCCGGAAGGUUAAUUGAUGGGGUUAGCGCAAGCGAAGCUCUUGAUCGAAGCCCCGGUAAACGGCGGCCGUAACUAUAACGGUCCUAAGGUAGCGAAAUUCCUUGUCGGGUAAGUUCCGACCUGCACGAAUGGCGUAACGAUGGCGGCGCUGUCUCCACCCGAGACUCAGUGAAAUUGAAAUCGCUGUGAAGAUGCAGUGUAUCCGCGGCUAGACGGAAAGACCCCGUGAACCUUUACUGUAGCUUUGCACUGGACUUUGAGCCUGCUUGUGUAGGAUAGGUGGGAGGCUUUGAAGCGUGGACGCCAGUUCGCGUGGAGCCAUCCUUGAAAUACCACCCUGGCAUGCUUGAGGUUCUAACUCUGGUCCGUAAUCCGGAUCGAGGACAGUGUAUGGUGGGCAGUUUGACUGGGGCGGUCUCCUCCUAAAGAGUAACGGAGGAGUACGAAGGUGCGCUCAGACCGGUCGGAAAUCGGUCGCAGAGUAUAAAGGCAAAAGCGCGCUUGACUGCGAGACAGACACGUCGAGCAGGUACGAAAGUAGGUCUUAGUGAUCCGGUGGUUCUGUAUGGAAGGGCCAUCGCUCAACGGAUAAAAGGUACUCCGGGGAUAACAGGCUGAUACCGCCCAAGAGUUCAUAUCGACGGCGGUGUUUGGCACCUCGAUGUCGGCUCAUCACAUCCUGGGGCUGAAGCCGGUCCCAAGGGUAUGGCUGUUCGCCAUUUAAAGUGGUACGCGAGCUGGGUUUAGAACGUCGUGAGACAGUUCGGUCCCUAUCUGCCGUGGACGUUUGAGAUUUGAGAGGGGCUGCUCCUAGUACGAGAGGACCGGAGUGGACGAACCUCUGGUGUUCCGGUUGUCACGCCAGUGGCAUUGCCGGGUAGCUAUGUUCGGAAAAGAUAACCGCUGAAAGCAUCUAAGCGGGAAACUUGCCUCAAGAUGAGAUCUCACUGGGAACUUGAUUCCCCUGAAGGGCCGUCGAAGACUACGACGUUGAUAGGCUGGGUGUGUAAGCGUUGUGAGGCGUUGAGCUAACCAGUACUAAUUGCCCGUGAGGCUUGACCAU